rnacentral:rRNA from 1 species
CAGUCGCCGCGGGAAUACGAAGGGUGCAAGCGUUAAUCGGAAUUACUGGGCGUAAAGCGUGCGUAGGCGGUGAGUUAAGUCUGCUGUGAAAUCCCCGGGCUCAACCUGGGAAUGGCAGUGGAUACUGGCAAGCUAGAGUGUGUCAGAGGAUGGUGGAAUUCCCGGUGUAGCGGUGAAAUGCGUAGAGAUCGGGAGGAACAUCAGUGGCGAAGGCGGCCAUCUGGGACAACACUGACGCUGAGGCACGAAAGCGUGGGGAGCAAACCGGAUUAGAUACCCCCGUAGUCCCUGUCUCUUAUAC